AGAAUGAAGAAGAUAUGAACUUCACGCAUCGAUAUGGCCACAUUACUUCGUAGCUCGGGUAAUGAGGUGCAAGCAGCUUAUAAAUUAGCAUUGCUAAGAUUUCAUCCUGAUAGAGAGCAUCAAAAACUGAUAUCAGGCGGAAGGAUGAGGGAGAGGAAAACUUUUAAGCCUAUUUCUCGCAUGAAGGGGGAAUUUUUAGUGAUUUCAUGACACUGAAUGCUAUCAAAGGAUUCGGAUUUUGAUUACCGAAGAUCUUGAUCACUUCUUGCCUCGCUUUCUCUUGCCAUUCUGGAUGGACUGCAAGAAGCAAGACAGUCCAUGCAAGUGAAGAAUUAGUUGUUUCUUGUCCAGCAAAGUAAAAUGUCUUGCAUUCAUCAACCAGAUCUUGUUGUGAAAUGCUGUUUUUCUUGUCUGUAUCAUGGUAAGCAUUUAAAAGUAAUCCAAGAAAAUCAGUGCCGAAGCUGUUGGCUCCUCCA